rnacentral:rRNA from 1 species
GACGAACGCUGGCGGCGCGCCUAACACAUGCAAGUCGAACGAGAGAGGAGGGAGCUUGCUUCCUCAAUCGAGUGGCGAACGGGUGAGUAACGCGUGAGGAACCUGCCUCAAAGAGGGGGACAACAGUUGGAAACGACUGCUAAUACCGCAUAAGCCCACGACCCGGCAUCGGGAAGAGGGAAAAGGAGCAAUCCGCUUUGAGAUGGCCUCGCGUCCGAUUAGCUAGUUGGUGAGGUAACGGCCCACCAAGGCGACGAUCGGUAGCCGGACUGAGAGGUUGAACGGCCACAUUGGGACUGAGACACGGCCCAGACUCCUACGGGAGGCAGCAGUGGGGAAUAUUGCACAAUGGGGGAAACCCUGAUGCAGCGACGCCGCGUGGAGGAAGAAGGUCUUCGGAUUGUAAACUUCUGUUCUUAGUGAAGAAUAAUGACGGUAGCUAAGGAGCAAGCCACGGCUAACUACGUG